GACAGAGGGUGCAAACGUUGUUCGGAAUCACUGGGCGUAAAGCGCACGUAGGCGGAUUUUUAAGUCAGGGGUGAAAUCCCGAGGCUCAACCUCGGAACUGCCUUUGAUACUGGAGAUCUUGAGUCCGGAAGAGGUAAGUGGAACUGCGAGUGUAGAGGUGAAAUUCGUAGAUAUUCGCAAGAACACCAGUGGCGAAGGCGGCUUACUGGUCCGGAACUGACGCUGAGGUGCGAAAGCGUGGGGAGCAAACAGG
rnacentral:rRNA from 1 species